rnacentral:rRNA from 1 species
AGAACGAACGCUGGCGGCAGGCUUAACACAUGCAAGUCGAACGGUUGUAGCAAUACAGCAGUGGCGCACGGGUGAGUAAUACAUGGGAACGUGCCCUUCAGUCCGGAAUAACAGUUGGAAACGACUGCUAAAACUGGAUAUUCCCUCCGGGGGAAAGUUUACGCUGAAGGAUCGGCCCAUGCCAGAUUAGAUAGUUGGUGGGGUAAUGGCCUACCAAGUCUACGAUCUGUAGCUGGUCUGAGAGGACGACCAGCCACACUGGAACUGAGACACGGUCCAGACUCCUACGGGAGGCAGCAGUGGGGAAUAUUGGACAAUGGGCGCAAGCCUGAUCCAGCCAUGCCGCGUGAGUGAUGAAGGCCUUAGGGUUGUAAAGCUCUUUGUCAGGGAAGAUAAGUGACGGUACCUGAAGAAUAAGCACCGGCUAACUUCGUGCCAGCAGCCGC